AAAUCAGCAACCUGUUGAUUUGAAUCAGAAUUUUCUCCGGUCAAGCUUGUUGCAGGCACUGCCCAGUUCAACUUGCAGUUUCAGCUUCUGGAUUUCGGAAUUCAACUUGAUCAGCAUAAUUGGACAAACUGUCAAGCUGCCUCUGUUGUCUGGAUAGUCUUGUUGCAGGCACUGCCUAGUUUAAUUUGCAAUUCCAACUUUUGGAUUCGGCACGCCAUGAUGGCAGGAUUGAUGCAGUCUUCUCUGUGUCAUUUCCGUGGACAGUCUUUUCAGGGAUGCAGGCAAUGGGAAACUGGGAA
rnacentral:misc_RNA from 1 species